UGGGUUCAGCUGCUUGCUCUUACUUCACAACUUUGAUUGCAAAUGAUCCAACCACAUCUGAGGAUCUAACUUUUCAGACUAGUCUUGGUGAAAAAUCUUUUGGCAAAUUUGAACUGACAUCCUGUGCUGCUAGACCUCAAGGAACUAAGGAGGUCAUCAAAAGCGGCGAUUACGCACUGUUGGAUGAUUUCUACAUAGGGUGCUUGCCUCAAUGGCCGCUAGAGAAUGCUUUUGAUGAUACAAAGCGAUUUUACGUGGUGAAGAAAUUAGAGUUGCAAGACAAUGAUUGGAUUCGUCUAUAUUUGGAACUUGCAGUUGCAACAGCUGAUAGGAGCACUCCCAACGUAUGUGUUUUUUUUUUUGUAUAUCAAUGACGUACCAUGCGUGUAAAAGGCCCGUCUCAAUAAUUCUGAUUUUACGUAUGGACAAUUCCUCACUAUCUUGUUCAUUCACAACAAAAUAUUUUCUUCGUCCGGUGGUAAAAAAAAACAUGCUUUUUUGGAGAGAGAUACUAUUUCACCUUCGUCAAUCGAGUCACAGGGUAUCUAACAUAU